rnacentral:rRNA from 1 species
AGGACGAACGCUGGCGGCGUGCCUAACACAUGCAAGUCGAACGCGCUCCAUUCGGUAGCAAUACUGAUGAAGAGUGAGUGGCGAACGGGUGAGUAACACAUGAGCAACCUGCCCCGAAGACUGGGACAACACCGGGAAACCGGUGCUAAUACCGGAUAUCCCUAUCGGACCGCAUGAUCUGAUAAGGAAAUGGAUUCCGCUUCGGGAGGGGCUCGUGGCCUAUCAGCUAGUUGGUGAGGUAACGGCUCACCAAGGCAUCGACGGGUAGCUGGUCUGAGAGGACGAUCAGCCACACUGGGACUGAGACACGGCCCAGACUCCUACGGGAGGCAGCAGUGGGGAAUCUUGCGCAAUGGGCGAAAGCCUGACGCAGCAACGCCGCGUGGAGGACGAAGGCUUUCUGAGUUGUAAACUCCUUUCAGCAGGGACGAUAGUGACGGUACCUGCAGAAGAGCACCGGCAACUACGUGCCAGCAG